AAGUCGUAACAAGGUUUCCGUAGGUGAACCUGCGGAAGGAUCAUUAUCAUCCUAAUUUUUAUUUCUUAUGAAAUAAAAAUAACCAUAAACCAAUCGUGAACCGUCUUUGCCUCCAAUGGGGUAAAGGAUAGAGAUUGCAGUGAGUGCACUUACUUUUUUUCACGAAAAAAAAAAGUGCCAUGAAACUUGGAUUUCUCCUUUUUUCACGUUGCUUCUCUUUUUUUUCCUCAUUGGUUGUAUUUUCAUUUUUUAUUUACCUUUAGAACAACUCAUUUCAUAUAAAAUAUGAACUGAAUUAAUUCUUUUUUCUUCAAGCCUAGUGUUUGAAAAAAAAGGGAAAAAAGAUAAAUUCUUAUCUUAAUGAAAAAUAAGAGAAACAACUCUUAGCAACGGAUAUCUUGGUUCUC
rnacentral:misc_RNA from 1 species